AAUGAACGCUGGCGGCAUGCCUAACACAUGCAAGUCGAACGAGCCCUUCGGGGCUAGUGGCGCACGGGUGCGUAACGCGUGGGAAUCUGCCCUUAGGUUCGGAAUAACUCAGGGAAACUUGAGCUAAUACCGGAUAAUGUCUUCGGACCAAAGAUUUAUCGCCUAAGGAUGAGCCCGCGUCGGAUUAGCUAGUUGGUGAGGUAAAAGCUCACCAAGGCGACGAUCCGUAGCUGGUCUGAGAGGAUGAUCAGCCACACUGGGACUGAGACACGGCCCAGACUCCUACGGGAGGCAGCAGUGGGGAAUAUUGGACAAUGGGCGAAAGCUUGAUCCAGCAAUGCCGCGUGAGUGAUGAAGGCCUUAGGGUUGUAAAGCUCUUUUACCCGGGAUGAUAAUGACAGUACCGGGAGAAUAAGCCCCGGCUAGCUCCGUGCCAGCCGCCGCCGUAAAAC
rnacentral:rRNA from 1 species